rnacentral:pre_miRNA from 1 species
CUGUCGCCUCCUCACCGCUAGUGGGAAGGCAGGGCCCGGUGAUGGAGGGAGGAGGGUCGGCUGAGGUCACCGGGCCCUACCUUCUUGGUAGCGGUGAGAAGGCGACGA